AUAGUUGUGAUAGGCCCAAGUUCUUUUAAUGUGAUUAAAAUGUUUUGAUGUAGCCCAAAACUACUCCCUCGACAAACGAAUAUUAAGUUGAUAAGCGAGAGAUGUUUAGAUGUAGCCCAAAAACAAACUCCCUCAAAAUGAAGAUUUAAGUUGAUAAGCGAGAGAUGUUUAGAAUAUCUCUUCGUAGGCCUUCCACCGUGGUGGGCUCCAAUCGUUUGUGACUCAUGCACCGGCUUCACCCUAUCAUGGGGGGAGUACAAAGUAUGUGCUUACAUCCAGGUGGAGUCCAUAAACAUAUGAUGAGGUGAGUGUAGGCAACGAGGAUAGCCGAUAUCAUAUCAUUGUGAGGCUAUUCUUGAACCCCUUCAUGAACUAAGCAUGGUGGGAAUGACUUAACU
rnacentral:lncRNA from 1 species